UUCCAGGCGGUUGCUAAGUGGUUGCUAAGUGGUUGCUACGCAGUUGCUUUCAUUUCUAAAGUGGUUGCUAGGCAGUUGCUAACGUUUUCCUAGUUGUUGCUAAGGUGUUGCUAAGUGGUUGCUAAUGUGUUGCUAAGUGGUUGCUAAUGUGUUGCUAGGCGGUUGCUAUCAUUUCUGAAGUGGUUGCUAAGCUGUUGCUAGGCAAUUGCUAGCAUAUACCAGGUGGUUGCUAGGUGGUUGCUAGGGUGUUGCUAGGUUGUUGCUAAGGUGUUGCUAUGGUAUCCGGGGUGGUUGCUAAGAUGUUGCUAGGUGGUUGCUAACGUGUUGCUAGGUGGUUGCUAAGGUGUUGCUAUGGUAUCCGGGGUGGUUGCUAAGGUGUUGCUAGGUGGUUGCUAGGUGGUUGCUAGGGUGUUGCUAGGUGGUUGCUAAGGUGUUGCUAUGGUAUCUGGGGUGGUUGCUAAGGUGUUGCUAGGUGGUUGCUAGGGUGUUGCUAGUUGGUUGCUAGGUGGUUGCUAAGGUGUUGCUAUGCAGUUGCUAAGGUGUUGCUAUGGUAUCCAGGGUGGUUGCUAAGGUGUUGCUAUGGUAUCUGGGGUGGUUGCUAAGGUGUUGC